UAUCAUAAUUUGCUUUUUUAACAAAAAUGAGGACUGGAGAGUGAGAAAUUAUGUUUCAAAACACCAUGCAUUUGUCAAUAAAUUGUAAAGUCAUUAGUGUUUAAGUUUUUGCCUAUAUUUUUAGGCCAACCCUGCUUGUUCCUGUGAGCCAACCAGCAAUCUCCAGCUGCAGCUCAGAAAGAAGAAGGGGAUGGGCCAUCAAACUCCAAAUGGUCAUGCAACCGGAGCCUCAGACGAUGGCCCCUUCGGCCAGGAACCCUUAGAUAGGCUUCUGAGGGAGCUCCGACUGCCAUUUCCCAGAACACCGGCCCUUCUCAGCAGGAGGCAAUUUAGAUCAGUCUUCAUUCUUACCCUUAUCCUUUUUCUAACAGCAGUUAGAUGUACUUCUUGAGAGCCGGGAAUGAGACAGCCAAGUGUAAAGGUGUCCCCAUAGAACCUCUGACAAACUCACACGCUGGGAGGAAUGUGCACUGGGAUGGAGCCUCAGGAAGUUCCUGCAGAGGAGCCCGGCCCCUCCCCUUCCAGGGUGGAAUCUGGGAUUCAAUCUGCGAGGUGGGAAGUGUGUACUAGCAGGACUCUCACUCUGCUGAGGGUCCCUAUUUCCCCCCCUUUUUUUUUUUGCCCAAUAAAUUCCAUUUUUCUCACCCUC